GUUAUUGCAUGUGUGACGUUAUUCAGUUAUCUACGUUUCAAAUCUAUGAAUAGUACAGUAAAAGAUUGUAUGUACGAUAUUUUACGAAGCAGCUGAUACGUGUGGCGAUCUAGCGAUAAAUUAAUUAAUUGAUACUUCAACGCGUAAUUGUUUGCAUUAAGAAAAGAUUUAUGAGCGUAUGUAUGUAUCUGUAGAUAUCAUACAUAUGGUUCUACGUAUUUGUAAAUGAUAUAGUGCCGGUCGCUGCUGCAUCAGCUUUUCGUAGAAUGAUUUUCCAAAACGGCAAUUUGUCAUGUAUCGUAGUGGCUUAAUCGUUGGUUGAUUAAGGUACAAAGUGUUGCCGUAAGUGUCGC